AUGACUGACAGGACUCUGGGGGCAUUAGCUCCCUCCAACAAAUGGUGGUCUCACGUUUCAAGGGCUGUGGUCACCUCCUUCCUCGUGACACCCCUGGACAUGGUGGAAGGUCCAUUUGCAGCCUCAGUGCCCGCUGGUGGCCAGUGAGCUGACACCUUCCUCCAGACUUCAGAGCCUCUCUUAUGCCAAGCUGCCCUCCUCUCUCCAAUCCUGUACUACAAUGGUGUCCUGGAGCCUCUGUACCUAUGACCAAAUGGUCCCCGCUGUGCCACCUGGUUUUAAGACCCUACCAGCUUCACUGGCACCUUGGAUGCCUCUGUGAAGAUUCUGAGGCACAAGGGCACCAGGACCCUGUGGAGUGGCCUCCCAGCCACCCUGGUGAUGACUGUGCCAGCUACCACCAACUACUUCACUGCCUACAACCAACUCAAGGCCUGCCUGUGUGGCUGAGCCCUUACCUCUACAUAACCUUGGUAGCUGGUGUGCUGGUCCACCCUGGCACUAUCACUGCAAUCAUCAGUGCCCUGGAGCUUAUGCAGACAAAGCUGCAGGUUUAGCAUAUGUUAUACUAUGUGCUGGUACCUGUGUUUGAGCUCCGGUGGCUUAGAGUGGUUGGUGCUCACUGUGGCUGUGCCGGGGCCCCACUCUCCUUAGAAAUGUGCCCUUCUCAGCCCUGUACUGGUUCAACUACGAGCUAGUGAAGAGCUGGCUGAAUGGGCUCAGGCCAAAGGAACUCCAUGGUCCCAUGACAACCAUAGGAGUCAGCUUUGCAGCUGGCAGCAUCACCAUGAUGCUGGCUACAGUGCUGACCCUAACCUUUGUCGUGAUGAAGACUCAACACCAGGCCACACUCGGAGUGAUGGAAGCCGUGGAAGUGACAUCCCUGGAUGCGGACUCUACCUGGUUGCUCAGAGGUGGAUCUGUGCCAAGUCGGGCAUCAGAGGGCUCUUUGCAGGCUUCCUCCCUUGGAUCAUCAAGUCUAUCCCCUCCUAUGCUAUCACGAUCACCACUUAUGAGUUCAGCAAAAGUCUCUUAAAGAGACUCAAUCAGGACCAGCAUCUGGGC
rnacentral:lncRNA from 1 species